UAAUUUGUCUUUUAAUUUAAGACUGGAACAAAAGAUUUAACAUUUUAAUUUAUUUAUUUGAUUUAAAAUUUAAAUUUUUCUUAAAAGUAAAAAGACUUUUAUUAAAUUGAAAGACGACAAGACCCUAUUGAACUUAACUUUAGUUAAACUGGGGCAGUCAAUUAAUUAUCAUUUUAAUACACUUAUUAACCAAUCAAUCUAUUAAUUAAUAAAUAAUUCAGUUACCAUAGGGAUAACAGCGCAAUAAUCUUUUAGAGUUCUUAUCUAAAAAAAAGUUUACGACCUCGAUGUUGAAUUAACUACCUUUUAAGAGCAAAUUUUUACAAAAGGAAGUCUGUUCGACUUUUAAAUAGUUACAUGAUUUGAGUUCAGACCGGUAUAAGCCAGGUCGGUUUCUAUCUUCUUUUAUAAUUUUAUGUAGUACGAAAGGACCUAUAAAUAUUUUUUAUUAAUUUGGCAGAAAAAUGCAUUAGAAUUAGAAUCUAAUAAAGAU
rnacentral:rRNA from 1 species